GGGACGGGGGCUAUCUGCAGUCGAAGCACAGCGAAAGGGCUUGCCCUUUCAGUGAGUGGCGAACGGGUGAGUAACACGUGGACAACCUGCCUCAAGGCUGGGGAUAACAUUUGGAAACAGAUGCUAAUACCGAAUAAAACUUAGUGUCGCAUGACAAAAAGUUAAAAGGCGCUUCGGCGUCACCUAGAGAUGGAUCCGCGGUGCAUUAGUUAGUUGGUGGGGUAAAGGCCUACCAAGACAAUGAUGCAUAGCCGAGUUGAGAGACUGAUCGGCCACAUUGGGACUGAGACACGGCCCAAACUCCUACGGGAGGCUGCAGUAGGGAAUCUUCCACAAUGGGCGAAAGCCUGAUGGAGCAACGCCGCGUGUGUGAUGAAGGCUUUCGGGUCGUAAAGCACUGUUGUAUGGGAAGAACAGCUAGAAUAGGAAAUGAUUUUAGUUUGACGGUACCAUACCAGAAAGGGACGGCUAAAUACGUGCCAGCAGCCGCGGUAAUACGUAUGUCCCGAGCGUUAUCCGGAUUUAUUGGGCGUAAAGCGAGCGCAGACGGUUUAUUAAGUCUGAUGUGAAAGCCCGGAGCUCAACUCCGGAAUGGCAUUGGAAACUGGUUAACUUGAGUGCAGUAGAGGUAAGUGGAACUCCAUGUGUAGCGGUGGAAUGCGUAGAUAUAUGGAAGAACACCAGUGGCGAAGGCGGCUUACUGGACUGCAACUGACGUUGAGGCUCGAAAGUGUGGGUAGCAAACAGGAUUAGAUACCCUGGUAGUCCACACCGUANACGAUGAACACUAGGUGUUAGGAGGUUUCCGCCUCUUAGUGCCGAAGCUAACGCAUUAAGUGUUCCGCCUGGNGAGUACGACCCGCAGGNUGAAACUCAAAGGAAUUGACGGGGAC
rnacentral:rRNA from 1 species